UGGGGAAUAUUGGACAAUGGGCGCAAGCCUGAUCCAGCCAUGCCGCGUGGGCGAAGAAGGCCUUCGGGUUGUAAAGCCCUUUUGUUGGGAAAGAAAAGCAGUCGGUUAAUACCCGAUUGUUCUGACGGUACCCAAAGAAUAAGCACCGGCUAACUUCGUGCCAGCAGCCGCGGUAAUACGAAGGGUGCAAGCGUUACUCGGAAUUACUGGGCGUAAAGCGUGCGUAGGUGGUGGUUUAAGUCUGUUGUGAAAGCCCUGGGCUCAACCUGGGAAUUGCAGUGGAUACUGGGUCACUAGAGUGUGGUAGAGGGUAGCGGAAUUCCCGGUGUAGCAGUGAAAUGCGUAGAGAUCGGGAGGAACAUCCGUGGCGAAGGCGGCUACCUGGACCAACACUGACACUGAGGCACGAAAGCGUGGGGAGCAAACAGGAUUAGAUACCCUGGUAGUCCACGCCCUAAACGAUGCGAACUGGAUGUUGGGUGCAAUUUGGCACGCAGUAUCGAAGCUAACGCGUUAAGUUCGCCGCCUGGGGAGUACGGUCGCAAGACUG
rnacentral:rRNA from 1 species